AAGAAUCCCCUUAAACUCACUCAAACAUUCCUGAAAAGUAUGCAAAGGAAAGCUGGACAGAACACUUUCGGCGGCAGGUUCGGCGGCCGAAAGUCCUCUCCAGAGCCGAAACUCAUGCACCUUCUGCGCCCGAAUCUCAACUUUCGACAGCCGAACCCUUUCGGGGGCAAGUUUCGGAGGCUGAAAGGCACUCCAGAGACGAAAGUCUCUAACCUUCGGCGGCACCUUCGGCGGCCGAAACUCC
rnacentral:lncRNA from 1 species